GAACGCUGGCGGCAGGCCUAACACAUGCAAGUCGAGCGGUAACAGAUCUAGCUUGCUAGAUGCUGACGAGCGGCGGACGGGUGAGUAAUGCAUAGGAAUCUGCCCGAUAGUGGGGGAUAACCUGGGGAAACCCAGGCUAAUACCGCAUACGUCCUACGGGAGAAAGGGGGCUCCGGCUCCCGCUAUGGGAUGAGCCUAUGUCGGAUUAGCUAGUUGGUGAGGUAACGGCUCACCAAGGCCACGAUCCGUAGCUGGUCUGAGAGGGUGAUCAGCCACAUCGGGACUGAGACACGGCCCGAACUCCUACGGGAGGCAGCAGUGGGGAAUAUUGGACAAUGGGGGAAACCCUGAUCCAGCCAUGCCGCGUGUGUGAAGAAGGCCCUCGGGUUGUAAAGCACUUUCAGCGAGGAAGAACGCCUAGCGGUUAAUACCCGCUAGGAAAGACAUCACUCGCAGAAGAAGCACCGGCUAACUCCGUGCCAGCAGCCGCGGUAAUACGGAGGGUGCAAGCGUUAAUCGGAAUUACUGGGCGUAAAGCGCGCGUAGGUGGCUUGAUAAGCCGGUUGUGAAAGCCCCGGGCUCAACCUGGGAACGGCAUCCGGAACUGUCAAGCUAGAGUGCAGGAAAGGAAGGUAGAAUUCCCGGUGUAGCGGUGAAAUGCGUAGAGAUCGGGAGGAAUACCAGUGGCGAAGGCGGCCUUCUGGACUGACACUGACACUGAGGUGCGAAAGCGUGGGUAGCAAACAGGAUUAGAUAC
rnacentral:rRNA from 1 species